CCCAGACUCCUACGGGAGGCAGCAGUGAGGGAUAUUGGGCAAUGGGGGAAACCCUGACCCAGCGACGCCGCGUGAGGGAAGACGGUCUUCGGAUUGUAAACCUCUGUCUUUGGGGACGAAAAAGGACGGUACCCAAGGAGGAAGCUCCGGCUAACUACGUGCCAGCAGCCGCGGUAAUACGUAGGGAGCGAGCGUUGUCCGGAAUUACUGGGUGUAAAGGGAGCGUAGGCGGGAUUGCAAGUCAGAUGUGAAAUCCCGCGGCUCAACCGCGGAACUGCAUUUGAAACUGUGCUUCUUGAGUGCUGGAGAGGCAGACGGAAUUCCUAGUGUAGCGGUGAAAUGCGUAGAUAUUAGGAGGAACACCAGUGGCGAAGGCGGUCUGCUGGACAGUAACUGACGGUGAGGCGCGAAAGCGUGGGGAGCAAACAGGAUUAGAUACCCCCGUA
rnacentral:rRNA from 1 species